GAUGAACGCUGGCGGCGUGCCUAAUACAUGCAAGUCGAGCGACCGGACGAGAAGCUUGCUCCUCUGAUGUUAGCGGCGGACGGGUGAGUAACACGUGGAUAACCUACCUAUAAGACUGGGAUAACUUCGGGAAACCGGAGCUAAUACCGGCUAAUAUUUUGAACCGCAUGGUUCAAAAGUGAAUGACGGUCUUGCUGUCACUUAUAGAUGGAUCCGCGCUGCAUUAGCUAGUUGGUAAGGUAACGGCUUACCAAGGCAACGAUGCAUAGCCGACCUGAGAGGGUGAUCAGCCACACUGGAACUGAGACACGGUCCAGACUCCUACGGGAGGCAGCAGUAGGGAAUCUUCCACAAUGGGCGAAAGCCUGACGGAGCAACGCCGCGUGAGUGAUGAAGGUCUUCGGAUCGUAAAACUCUGUUAUUAGGGAAGAACAUAUGUGUAAGUAACUGUGCACGUCUUGACGGUACCUAAUCAGAAAGCCACGGCUAACUACGUG
rnacentral:rRNA from 1 species